GAUACGCCAGUAACGCCACUCACACAUAAUUCUCUUAUCUUUUUCCACUCUCUCGUAACACGACCCUCCUCCUUCCACAGCAACAUCCAAACAGGUUAGCGGCCAUAUCUAUCGUUCUCUUCAAUCAUUCACAUUUUCACUUGAUCUAUCCAUUACUGUUGCCUAUCUCUCCCUACCUUUAUUCUUGAGCGCAUAAUCUACAACCUCAGCUUCGAUCUAUCUAUACUGUUUUGGAAGAAAAGGUACUUAUCCCCAAAAUAAGCUAACUCAGCUAAAUAAGAGCAUAAUUGAAGCAAUCUUGAGAUGAAUCAAAGAAAUGAGCAAAGUGGGAGCAAAAGGAAGCAAGUGGUGGAAAUUCAGCAAGUUCGAUCGAUUUCAGAAAAUAUUCGAUCAAUCGAAAGUUCAUCAAUCUCAGCAUUCCAAGAUGGAUCCAAGCUCUUUUGUCCCUAUCUAAAGAUUCCACAAAGUUCGAUCGAUUCAACUUUAUUCUGAUCAAUUGAAAAGAUUCCAUCUUAUCCACUUGUACCACCCUAUCUACUGCAUUUGUCUCUUUCCCAAAAAUAUCUUCAAAAUAUCUCAGAUUUGUUUUUAUCUAAAAAGGCGCUGCCAUAGAGGAUCGAUCCAGCUUAAAUUCGAUAGAUUUCAGCCAUGUUCGAUCAAUCUCACUAUAAGUUCGAUCAAUCGAACUUCCCAAAGCCCUAGAAAAUUCAAUUUCCAGCUCAUUAAAAGUUGUCUCAUAUCCAAUCAUUGGAAGGAAUAUUAGUGUACGAGUCUAGCUCAUUUGGGGUGAUAUUUAACCUACCUAUAUAAGGAAUAUGAGCCACUUUUUGAGAGUAUAUACUAGAGAGUAGAUAGAGACAUAAUUUCUAUAUUUUUAGUGAGGAAGAAAAGAAAGAAGAAGGCUAGAGAAAUAAGCUUGGAGUUCUUUCACCAACCAAGAAGAUGAGCAAUCUCUACCAUGGAAUUAGCCCUUGAGGGUUGGAGGACACCAUCUAUGAGUGGCUAGACAUUCUCUCGGGGCUAGAGUUAGCCCUAAGCAUGCUUUUUAUAUCUUGAUUUAUGUAUUUUUGAGGGAAUUUGUAUUGUGAUACAUGUUUUGACACUUUUAUAUACAUAGAUCUUGUUUAUUCAAUAAUUUGUGUGGUUUAAUACUUAUAA